rnacentral:lncRNA from 1 species
UUGGUAACAGUAGGUUGUUAGUAGAAUAAAUGGUUACAAAUUCAAAGGGUCAUAAGCUUUGAAAUCCACUGACCGACAGAUCAUCUUUUGGUAGGAUAAAGAGGUUGAAAAAAGGGAGAUCGGGACUAGACUAUGAUAGUCUUAAGCCAAAGGCCAAACUAUGAGAGUCAUAAGCUAAGGGCCAUACUGUGAGAGUUGUAAGCUAAGAGGCAGAUUGUGAUAGUCGUAAGUCGGGGCAAGCUUGGUGCUACUUCUUUUUAUUUCUUUUUUGUUUUUGAAUAAUGGAUAGUUUUUGAAUACUGAGAAGUUAGUCUGGAGUGCCAGACUAUGAGAAUCGUAAGUCGAGAUAUUAAAUUCUGUGUGAUGAAUUGAGAAACUGAAUACAAUAGGUAAGUUGAAGAUUAGUAAUUAAAUAUAUAUAAACCACAAAGAGAGUAAAUGGAAGAUGAAUGGAUAAGAAUAUAGAAGUAUUGUUGAAUUGAUAGUCGUAGAAUGAAUUAUGGAUUGAAUUAAGACAAAAGUAGUAAGCCUUGGUGUUUUGUAGUUUGAUAAUUGAUUUCAGAUAGCUAGAGUACAGUCAAUUGUGACACUAACAGACCCAAUUCAUAUAACUAGUAUUUUUCUAUGUUUGAAUCCGCGUCUAUUAAUUUAAUUGCUUUGAUAUAUUGAAGCUUGAAGACAACAAGAACAAAAUUUUGGUGUUGUUGUCAGAGAAAUGAUAACAAUAUGAAAUAUUAGAAAUUGAUUGUAUGAGAGAUAGAAUUAUAUGUUGAAUGAGAACGUGAAAUGAACCAAUUUUUAGGAUUACAAAUAUGUGGGUUAUAAUUCAAGGCAGUAUUAAUUUUCUAAAGAAGAAUGAAAGAUUAUGAGUGAUAAUCAUAAAAGAGAAGAUUAUCAAAGAAUUAAUUGAUAAGCAAAAGAAAGACAAGAGCGAUUACACAUAAGAAAUCUCAUACGAGAACGACAAAAAAGAAUUAUAGGUCCAAGUAAAACCAACGGAAAAAAAAUUCAAAUUC